CCCGUUGCUGAAGUACUAGUCCCUCUUUCCCAAUUUAUGUCCGGGAAAUUAAAAUCUCCAAUAAUUAACAUGUUACCCCGAUUUGUAGCUUUCCCAAUUUGCUCUAACAGCUGUUCUUCCUCAUUAAUAUUUACAUUAGGUGGUUUAUAACAUAUCCCAACCAAUAAUUGAUUUCCCUUUGUAUGCCCCAGGCAGAUAUCUACCCAUAAAGCUUCCACAUUUUCCUCG